AACAAGUAUUUUGGAAAGGGGAUUCAAAAAAAAGUUAAGAAAAGAAUAGACCUGAGUUUAAAGAAGUUGAUUUCUUCAAGAAUGGGAACAUUUGGUAAAUAUUUGUUGGAAUCCAAUAGAAAAGGGGUGUGAUGAGAGUGGCAUAAACUUUGGGACUUGUGAAAAACCAUAGGGACCACUGAUGAUGAUGAUCCAUCUAGAGAGAUGUAUGUUUGGUUUAGAAACCUCUGCACCUUAUAGUCUCUCACAUUUGCUCUAUUGAUGAUGUCCACCACACCUACCUUAAAAAAAAACGCUUUCAUGGUCAUUCACGCAUUUGAUAUGAAUCCCACCAGAUAUCUUAGUUGGAUUAUAUUUGAAAAAUAUUUACUAUAAAUCGACAACUGCAAGUUAACUAAAAGUUGGAGUUUAUAAGGUAAAUAAAACCACCUAUAAUUUCCACCUGAUCCGAACCAAAAACUAAAAUCCAUUUCACAUUUCAAAGUGCCUCUGGGCGAAAGAGAGGGUUCCUCAUCGUCAAUCAAUCAUGUUCCUUUUAAAAGGCCCAAAUAGAUUUGCAGACCAAAGAAAGAAGCCACUUUCUUUGCAGAAACAAACAUCAACUUACUCUCCAUCAGCUAACGAACAAGAAAGAAGCACAAGGUAAGUGUUAAGUUUCUCGGUCCUGUCUAGAUCGGUGAUUUAUGGAUCUCAUAGAGAUUAGAUUAUUCCCUGCAGAAGCUAACCGCUUUUCGAAUCUGAUUGUUCCUAUUGAUUGUCUUCUCCUAGGUGGUUGGGAUCUAAAAGCUGAUGGCGAAGAUCAAGCCUCAAGCUCUAUUGCAGCAAAGCAAGAAGAAGAAAGGACCUGCUCCUAUUAGCAUAACCAGCAUCGUGAUUUACACCUUGGCCGUGCUUUUGGUCGUCUUCGUCCUCUUCUCCGCCUACAAACGUUGGACCCUCAGGUUCGGUUCUCUAUCAAAAUUCAGAUUUGAUUCUAUCACUAUUAGUUUAGAGAAAUUAUUCUAAGAUGUGAAAAAAUGACUUCUUGUGGGCUUACAGAUCUGAGAUCCCAACCCACAAUGGUAGAUCACUUCUUCAGGUUACUAUUAUUCUCUCUGUCUAUGUCUUCUCAUAGUUAUACCCCCCUCCUUUGUCAAAUGAUUGUCUUGUUGUUGUGUAGGAUCCAGCCUUCCCUGGAGUGAAGAAGAAUACUAAUCUCCCAUGGUUUGCUGUGAGUUUCAUUAUCAUCCCCCCAAUUAUAUUUAUACCCCUAUGUCUUCUCUUUGUUUUUUUCUGAAUCUUUUCCUCUCUGUUUGUUGAACUCUAGACCUUGGAUACUGGCAAAGGUUCAGUGACCAUUCAACUAUUCAAGGAUGCUGCUCCCAACGUUGUUGACGAAUUCAUCAACUUAUCGUAAGCAAUAACUUCACACUACUGUAUUUGCUUUGCCAUUUCUUUUUUAACACAAUGUUUUGUCAUUGGUAUUUGCAGUCAAGAUGGGUAUUUCAAAGGUUUCUCAUUCAGUAGAGUUGUAAAGCAUGCUGUGAUUCAAGCUGGCCACUCUGCUCAGUUCGAUGCUGUCAAAGAUUGGGCUCUCCAAAGGAAUAAUCUUCAUACCAGGUUUGCUGCUUACUACAUUGUUAGCAAAUAAAAUAUAUGGAGAAAAAGCUUUGGCUUUUUGGUUUCUGGCUGAUUAUGGGGAACUCUUUCUAUCAUCUGUCUUGAUGCAGUUUAAAACAAGAAGAAUACAUGGUGGGAACCCCUAAAGCUAAAAACGAGCAAGGAGGAUUUGAGUUUUUCAUUGUAUCUUCUCAGAUCACAGACCUCAAUGAGAAAUUGACAGUCUUUGGUCGAGUUGUGAAGGGACAAGACGUUGUUAAGGAGAUCGAGGAGGUUGAGAUAGAUGAGCAUUAUCAACCAAAAGCACCAAUCGAGAUCAUGUCCGUCACUUUGCUUCAAGACAUGUGAAACCUGCUUUAUUACUUCUUUGUAUUAAAAAAAAACUCCAAAGUGAUUCUUGAUGUAUUAAUGCUUUGUAAUUUGAAUACUUUCCAUCACCUCAUUUGCAACUUUGUGGUAACACAAGUUUUAAGUUUCUAUCUUCUGUAUAAUUCUCUCGUAGCUAGUAAACAACACGUGUGACAUUUAAAAGAUAUUCGAGAGCUAAAACAAAAAGGUAUCGCUAAUGUUUUUUACACAUGAUGAUACAAGGAGGAUACUGUAAAAAACACUUGAAAUCAACUAUCCCAACCAGAUCUCCUUUUCCUCUCUCUUGGCCGAUCUUCAGAACUGCAACAGUAGGGUCAAAUAAUGUCAGCCAACUCUAAAGAUUAUAAAUCAAACCUUACAAGAAAACAGUGCUGCAACUAAUAGGAAACAAACCUCUGUGUAUUCUUUUGACUCGAGUGAUGACUAGUUGCUACUGGGGGAGUUUGAGUUUGAGCUCUACCCAUGUCCCCACCAAUGGCCCCACCUGAGACAAAUCCCGUUAGGGCGGGUCUCUUGUUCGGAUAAGCUUGGUUUGAUGGCGUAGCAGCCACAAAGCUAUUCUUGAAUUGGGCCAUUACUCCGGUUCUCACAGAAUUGAUCACCCCUUUCUACUUGGUGCAGCUUGAGACGAUGGUGCUGUUCGUUUGGUUGCCGCAGGUACCGGCGGCAGCGGCAGCGUCAACAUUCGGCGUCAACUCUUGUUCGUUUCGUUGACGCAGGCAGCUGCGUCUGACGCUGCGUUCGAACGCCGCGUCCUGCGGCUGACGCCGAUAAAACCAGCGGUCGCGACAUAAAACCUGCGGCCAAUAAGGUAAUUUACUAUUUUACCCUUACUAUGUUUUAGUAUUUACAAAAAAACCUAAACCUAAAUUUGACGCAGUCGGGGAAAGUUUGACGCAGCUCCAUCUCUAUCUUUCUCUCUCGAUCUCCAUUCUAGAACCAGUGAAGACCUCGAGAGCUCUCUCCAUCUCGUGCUCUCUCCAUCUCAAGCUCUCUCUCUAUCUCGAGCUCCCUCUCUCUCUCUCCAUCUCGAGCUCUCUUCAUCUCGGGCUCUCUCUCCGUCACGAGCUGUCUCCAUCUCAGGCUCUCUGGCUCUCUCUCCGUCACGAUCUGUCUCCAUCUCGGGCUGUCUCUCUUCUCCGAAGAAAACCCAUCUCCGAUCUCAUCUCGAAGCUUUCUUCUCCGAGCUCAUCUCAUCUCCAAGCUCUCUCUUCUCCUUUUCUCGUUGAGGUACGUUUGAUGCUAGUGAAAUAGAGUUUCAACAUUCUGAUUAUUGAAUCUCUGAUGAUUGUUUGAUUCCAUUGCUGUAACUAGGAAUCAUAGUGAAAUAGGCCUAGCUGUAACUCCCUUUCUUUGCCUUCAUGGUUCCAUUGCUGGUCUGUUCUUUUAAUAUAAACGAUGGGUUGUCUUCUGAGUGUAGCUUUUGGGGUUUCUAAAUUUAAAGUGCAGGCUACAAAAACAUCCUAUUGUAGUUAGUACGUAUUGGUUUACGAGUCUGCACUCAUGGGGAAGCUUAAAGGGUUGCUAUAUGUAACUUCGAUAUGAAGUUCAUAUAUGCAUAUGUCGGUGUACCUGGUAGAGCACAUGAUACCAAAGUCUUGACUCAUUGUGCGAGAAACGAGGCUUCUUUUCCACAUCCUCCUCCCGGAAAGUAUUAUUUAGUUGACUCCGGAUAUCCGACCAGGACAGGGUAUCUUGGUCCGCAUCGUAAUAUGCGAUAUCAUCUUAGUCAGUUUGCUACAGGAGGACCACCAGUUAGUGCAAGAGAGAUAAAAUGGUGAUGAUGGAGAAGGAGAAGCUGAUAGUGACGGUGAUGAAGAAGAAGGUGACGAUGAUGAUGAUGAUGAAGAUGAUGUUGGUGUUGGAGGUGGUGGUGGUGGACAUAUUGUAUAUGAGCCGACAGGUGAUAGAGCGAUGGAAGAUUUGCGUGAUAACAUCACAAAUGAAUAUGGUAGAGGUCGUUUACCGUAUUAAAUGUUUUAGUUGAUGAUUUAAUUUUUUUUUUGCUUAUAACUUUGAUUGUCAUUUAAAUGUGAUAUUUAUUUAAGACUUGAUGUAAUAUUUAGCUUUUGUUUAUGAUAAAUAUUUUGAAUUAUUAUUUUGUUUCUAAUUUAGCUUAUGAUGUAUGAAAAAAAAUUGUUACAUUUGUAUAAUUUACAUUUGUAUAAUUGACCAAAAAAUUAUUAUCAAGUAAACAUAAUAUUUUAAUGGAUGUAAAUAUAUUUAAACUACACUUGAUUUAUUUAAAUACAAUUUUAUAAAAAAAUUAAAAUAAAUCUGAAAAAAUGAAAAUAGCCGCUGCGUCUGUCAAACGAACAACCCAAAAAUCUGCUUCCUGCGGCAGCGUCGGCGUCGAUCUCAACUUCUUGCGUCUUCUAAACGAACAAUAAUCUGCGGCAGCGGCAGCGUCGGCGUCAGCGUCUGCGAAACGAACAACAACUGUCUUCAUUGACGCUGCCGCUGCCGCCGACGCUGCCGCUGCCGCUGCCGCCGAAACCUGCGGCAACCAAACGAACAGGGCUUUUUUGUUGAUUGUUUCUCAGUGCCUCAGUGUUUAUUUGAUCACUUCCUUCGUCUUUCCUUUCAGGGUUCUGAUCAGCCUCUGAUUGUUAGAUUUGCAGACCCUAAAAAACCUCGUCUAGGGGAACCAAGGUUCUACUCUUUGCUUUUCCUUUUUUUUUUUAUGUUAUUUAUUUGAGGAUUUGCCUAGUUUUCUUUUGAAUUGCAAAGUCAUCUUCUUGGUUCUUACACUUUAAACUUACCGGUGUCACCCCCCUAUGGUUGUGUCACUUAGCUAUAGUUCUUGAAGGAUUUGCUUUCAAAAGUUUUGCAGUAGCACUAAUACAAUCCUGAUAUCACUCCAUCAUCUCAACAUUAUUUCAAUGGUUAUGUGUCUUCAGGUUUAACUUUAACGCUCCACCUGCAAUGCAACAAUACGACCCAAAUUGGCACCCACAACCAUAUCCCCAAUGGGGAAACAAUGAACAUGCAGCUCCUAGAUUCGUUGAUUUCGCUUCUCAGCCAAAUCACUUCCCGCAGCAAAAUGCUCAAGCAGUAUCCGAGUUUCAACAACCGCUGCAUCAGAAAUCUGAGACUGCCAGCGUGAAGGUACUCCUUUUGUAGUAGGAUCUUAUUGCUAAUGGUAGACGGAUAUUGAACUCUGGACCAUGAGUUUAUUUAUAUAGAGGGGUUUAGGUUUUCAUAAAUCUCUUAUUCACGCAUCUGCUUCAUCUUCAUAUCUAUAACUACUUUUGUGUAGACUAGAAGCGAUGGUCAGAAGAUUUCUAGUCGUUCAAAUGCCAUCCAUGAAGAUCAAAAUACAGAAGAAUGUGACUGGAGUGAGCACACUUGUCCUGAUGGGAACAAGUAUUAUUUCCAUUGUGUCACUUGUGAAAGCACGGUAAUACUUUUUUUCCCUCUUUCAUUGUGCACUCCACUCAAGCAAUUUGUCUAGUUAGUUAAAAUGAUUUAUAUGGAUGGAGCACACAGUGGGAGAAACCAGAGGAGUACUCCAUGUUUGAGAGAUGGUUCGACGAGCAAAUAAGGCUACAAGAUCAAAAUAUUGCCAAGAGCCAAGAUGCAAUAAAAAACACCCAGCAAGAUGAGUCUACUCUAUUGGAACAGACUACUAAACUCCAACAACAAUCCUUAUCCACAGCGGUUAGAUAUAUCAUUUCUUGACACACUUGGACUUCCAUAUAGUUAGUAUCUUCCUACAAGAAGAGUAGACUCCAUCCAAUCUUUCAUCUGAUGUGUGUGUUUCCAGGAUCAGGAGAACAAUUCAGUAUAUCCGGUAGUAACAAGAGUGAGUGGCUGUUGAAACGUCGUGUCCAUAAAAAUGUCUCAGGUAAUUAAUUGAACAGUUGAUUCUCUCUCUGUUUAUUAAAAGGACGUUAAAUACUACAUCUCACAAGAUCUUAUAUCAUCCUUCUUAUGUUUCAAUACAGGACAAGUCACUAAACAAGUAUUUUGGAAAGGGGAUUCAAAAAAAAGUUAAGAAAAGAAUAGACCUGAGUUUAAAGAAGUUGAUUUCUUCAAGAAUGGGAACAUUUGGUAAAUAUUUGUUGGAAUCCAAUAGAAAAGGGGUGUGAUGAGAGUGGCAUAAACUUUGGGACUUGUGAAAAACCAUAGGGACCACUGAUGAUGAUGAUCCAUCUAGAGAGAUGUAUGUUUGGUUUAGAAACCUCUGCACCUUAUAGUCUCUCACAUUUGCUCUAUUGAUGAUGUCCACCACACCUACCUUAAAAAAAAACGCUUUCAUGGUCAUUCACGCAUUUGAUAUGAAUCCCACCAGAUAUCUUAGUUGG
rnacentral:lncRNA from 1 species